rnacentral:rRNA from 1 species
UGGUCACAUCACAUUAAAACACAGAUUCCCAUACGAUCACCAAAGUUAAGCAACAUUGACCCUGGUCGUACCUAGAUGGGUGAACUUGAGAAUACUAGGUGCUGUAAG